AGAGUUUGAUCAUGGCUCAGAUUGAACCUGGCGGCAUGCCUUACACAUGCAAGUCGAACGGCAGCACGGGGGCAACCCUGGUGGCGAGUGGCGAACGGGUGAGUAAUGCAUCGGAACGUGUCCUGUUGUGGGGGAUAACCAGUCGAAAGAUUGGCUAAUACCGCAUGAGAUCGAGAGAUGAAAGCGGGGGACCGCAAGGCCUCGCGCGAUAGGAGCGGCCGAUGCCGGAUUAGCUAGUUGGCGGGGUAAAAGCCCACCAAGGCGACGAUCUGUAGCUGGUCUGAGAGGAUGAUCAGCCACACUGGGACUGAGACACGGCCCAGACUCCUACGGGAGGCAGCAGUGGGGAAUUUUGGACAAUGGGCGCAAGCCUGAUCCAGCCAUGCCGCGUGUGUGAAGAAGGCCUUCGGGUUGUAAAGCACUUUCGGCCGGAACGAAAUCGCGCGGGUGAAUAAUCCGCGUGGAUGACGGUACCGGAAGAAGAAGCACCGGCUAACUACGUGCCAGCAGCCGCGGUAAUACGUAGGGUGCGAGCGUUAAUCGGAAUUACUGGGCGUAAAGGGUGCGCAGGCGGCUUCGCAUGUCAGAUGUGAAAUCCCCGAGCUUAACUUGGGAAUUGCAUUUGAAACUACGAGGCUGGAGUGCGGCAGAGGGAGGUGGAAUUCCACGUAGCGGUGAAAUGCGUAGAGAUGUGGAGGAACACCGAUGGCGAAGGCAGCCUCCUGGGCCGACACUGACGCUCAUGCACGAAAGCGUGGGGAGCAAACAGGAUUAGAUACCCUAGUAGUCC
rnacentral:rRNA from 1 species